rnacentral:lncRNA from 1 species
UUGUGCUCGGCUGUGCCAGUUCAGCGAGCACCCUCGGGCCGGGCAGAGCGGGAGCCCCCAGGCAGCCCCCAGCCCUAACGCUUUCCUAGCCCAGUCCUCCUCCCUGGCAGCCACGUUCUCGCCUCGGUGUGCAGCCUGUGGCUCCCGGGCAGCCCUCGCUCAAACGAGCCUCGGCACAGCCGGGAAGCUCGCCCGACCAGGGUGGGGAGAUCCCAGCCCCGAGGUCUCAGCUCCCGUUCCCUGCGGAGCUGGGCGGGGAGCUGCGCGCUGUGCGGAGGUGCACCGGGGCCGGGGGCUGUGUGUGUUGCAGGGGGGUGUGUGCUGAGGCUGGGGGCUGGGAGCAUUGGGGGAGGGGGUGUGCCGAGUGGGGCCUGUUCACUGGUGGUGUGGGGAGCAGGGCAGGGCUGCACCUCUGUGCAUGCGAGGGACAGGGUCGCCUCUGUGUGUGUGUGUCGGUCCGUACAAGCAAGCCGGGAGAGCCCCAGCUCUGCCUGCCAGACGGCCCCGCUGCCGGGGAGCGGCACAGCCGGUGCCGACAUCUGUGCUUCGAGGCCUGCCUGUCUUCAGUUCUCUCCUUGGCACAGUCACAGUGGCAGUUGGGUCCUUCUGUACCGCUCCGUGGUUUCCCCCACCAUCCUGCCUCUCCGUGACACAAACCUGUAUCGCCGGUGUGCUUUCUUGGAGGGGAAACCGAGGCAGAAGGAAGGGAAGCAGCAGAGCCCUCUCCCGAUCCCUGUCAUCCUGAGGCUUGAUCCUAUGCCUCACUCUGGCUUGUUUUUUUCCUGCCAAGUGAUGCCAAGAGCCGGGGGAAAGCAAGGGCGUCCUGGGACACAGCUCCCGGCUUUGUCUGCCCGGGGCCCUGGAGCCGCCCAGCUCCUCCUGCCGCUGUCUGGCACAUCCCUGGCCUGGGGCUGCCACAGGGGCUGGUGCCGGUGCCGCAGGACGGCCGCCUGUGGCACAUGUUGUUGGGCGGUGUGGUGACACUAGUGGUAGUGGUGGCCAUAGUGGCAGUGGUGGCCGUGGUGACAGUGGUGUCCGUAGUGGUUGUGGCAGUAGUGCUCGUGGUGGGAGUUUAUCGUGGUGGAAGUCUGUACUGGUGGCCACCACGGUGGCACCACGGCAAUAGCAGUGGUGGCCGUAGUGACAGUGGUGGCCAUGGUGGCCGCAGUGGCGGUGGUGGCGCUGGCCGUGGUGGCGCUGGCGGCGGGCGCUGUCCCCGGUGCUGAUCNNNNNNNNNNNNNNNNNNNNNNNNNNNNN